rnacentral:pre_miRNA from 1 species
CUCGUACUCCCUCCGUUCCGAAUUACUUGUCUUGGAUUUGUCUAGAUACGGAUAUAUCUAGACUCAUUUUAGUGCUAGAUACCUCCGUAUCUAGAUAAAUCCAAGACAAGUAAUUCAGAACGGAGGGAGUAGUAG